AUGUGCAGUGCAUACCGCAUGACGGUAAAACCGCGAACGGCUCAUUAGAACAGUUAUUGUUCGCAAGAAAUGAUAUCCACUUGGAUAACUGUGGAAAUGCUAGAGCUAAUACACGCCUUGAUGCUUUGGAAUAGAAUGACCAAAGCGCGUUUAUUGGUACCAUCUGUCAGUUGGCGGUGGCCGUAAUGGCCAUGCAGUCGGCUGUUCAGUUGUUGAAACGGAGUAACUAUGCUGAUCGCACGGUCCUAGUACCGGCGACGAAUCUUUGAAAUGACUUGCUCAUCAACUGUCGAUGGUAGGUUACGUGCCUACCAUGGUGACAACGGUUAACGGAGAAUCAGGGUUCGAUUCCGGAGAAGGAGCCUGAGAGACGGCUACUACAUCCAAGGAAGGCAGCAGGCGCGCAAAUUACCCACUCCCAGAACGGGGAGGUAGUGACGAUAAAUAACGGAACGUAUCUCGAUGAGACGCGUUACCGGAACGAUUGAGCCGUAUAUGAGCUCGACUAAAGCUAUUGGAGGGCAAGUCUGGUGCCAGCAGCCGCGGUAAUUCCAGCUCCAAUAGCGUAUAUUAAAGCUGCUGCGGUUGAACCGCUCGUAGUUGGAUUGCGAUUUUCGACCACGGUCCUCUAAGUCAAGAGGAUGUUGGCCUGUGCCGCCGUUGGUCAAUGUCGGUGUUGUCACGGUUCGCUCUUGAUGCUCUUUGUCGAGUGUCAUUGGCGACGUGGACGUUUACUUUGAGAAAAUAAGAGCGCUCAAAGCAGGCUGCUUAUAGCUUGAACGGAAUUUCAUGGGAUAGUGAAAGAUGAUCUCGCUGGUAGUGGCAUUUCGGUGCAUAGUUACCACGAGGUAAUGAUUAAAAGAGACAGACGGUGGCAUUCGUACUGCUGCGUUAGAGGUGAAAUUCUUGGAUCGCAGCAAGACGAACAAUUGCGAAAGCAUUUGCCAAGAAUGUUUUCAUUAAUCAAGAACGAAAGUUGGAGGAUCGAAGGCGAUCAGAUACCGCCCUAGUUGCGACUUUAAACGAUGCCAACUAGCGAUUCGGCGCUGUCUUUUUAAUGACUCGCUGAGCAGCUCCCGGGAAACCAAAGUCUUUCGGUUCCGGGGGAAGUAUGGUUGCAAAGCUGAAACUUAAAGGAAUUGACGGAAGGGCACCACCAGGAGUGGAGCAUGCGGCUUAAUUUGACUCAACACGGGAAAGCUCACCCGUCCCGAACACUGUCAGGAUUGACAGAUUGAGAGCUCUUUCUUGAUUCAGUGGGUAGUGGUGCAUGGCCGUUCUUAGUUGGUGGAGCGAUUUGUCUGGCCAAUCCCGAUAACGAACGAGACUCUGGCCUACUAAAUAGUGACGGCUCAAUUUUUCUUCAAUCAAGCCAAUCGUCUUCGUGUCACUUCUUAGAGGGACAAGCGGCGGUACAAAGCCGCACGAGAAAGAGCAAUAACAGGUCUGUGAUGCCCUUAGAUGGACGGGGCUGCACGCGUGCUACACUGAUGGCAGCAACGUGCGUUUAAGCCUGGCUUGAAGAGGUCAGGUAAUCGAUUGAAAUGUCCGUCGUGACUGGGACAGGGAAUUGCAAUUAUUUCCCUCGAACGAGGAAUUCCCAGUAAGCGCGAGUCAUCAGCUGCUUUGACUACGUAC
rnacentral:rRNA from 1 species